UCCUGCCAGUAGUCAUAUGCUUGUCUCAAAGAAUAAGCCAUGCAUGUCUAAGUACACCGCUAUACAAGGGAAACUGCGAAUGGCUCAUUAAAUCAGUUGUGGUUCCUUAGAUCGUUGACCGUCAAGCGUCGUAGGUGGAUACCUGUGGCAAUUCUAGAGCUAAUACAUGCCUCGAGACCCCGAAGCCUCCGUGCUGAAGGGCGCUUUUAUUAGACCAAGACCUUCUGGCCGGCCCUAGCCCUUCACUGCGGCGGGGGCUGCGUGCCAUACCGGGUUGUGGUGACUCUGGAUAACUUCAGGCCGAUCGCUCUCGUCAGGGCCUCGCAAGCCCCGACAGAUCUUUCAAAUGUCUGCCCCAUCAUAUGGAGAGGUGAAGGUCGCGGCCUCACCUGUGCGUGACGGGUAACGGGGAAUCAGGGUUCGAUUCCGGAGAGGGAGCAUGAGAAACGGCUACCACUUCCAAGGAAGGCAGCAGGCGCGCAAAUUACCCACUCCUGACACGGGGAGGUAGUGACGAAAAAUAGCGAUACGGGACUCGGUCGAGGCUCCGUAAUCGGAAUGAGUACACUUCAAAUCCUUUCGCGAGGAUCCAGUGGAGGGCAAGUCUGGUGCCAGCAGCCGCGGUAAUUCCAGCUCCACUAGCGUAUAUUAAAGUUGUUGCAGUUAAAAAGCU
rnacentral:rRNA from 1 species